GAUGAACGCUGGCGGCGUGCUUAAUACAUGCAAGUCGAGCGAAGCACUUUAACGGAAUUCUCCGGAAGGAAGGUAAAGUGACUGAGCGGGCGACGGGUGAGGUAACGCGUGGGUAACCUGCCUUAUACAGGGGGAUAACAGUUAGAAAUGGCUGCUAAUACCGCAUAAGCGCACAGGGCCGCAUGGCCCGGUGUGAAAAAGGAGCAAUCCGCUUUGAGAUGGCCUCGCGUCCGAUUAGCUAGUUGGUGAGGUAACGGCCCACCAAGGCGACGAUCGGUAGCCGGACUGAGAGGUUGAACGGCCACAUUGGGACUGAGACACGGCCCAG
rnacentral:rRNA from 1 species